AGUAACACGUGGGUGACCUGCCUCGAAGACGGGGAUAACCACUGGAAACGGUGGCUAAUACCCGAUGGUCUCGAUAAUUCGCUUUAUCGAGUAAAGGCUCCGGCGCUUUGAGAGGGACCUGCGGCCCAUCAGCUAGUUGGUAGGGUAAUGGCCUACCAAGGCAAAGACGGGUAGGGGGCGUGAGAGCGUGACCCCCCACACUGGCACUGGGACACGGGCCAGACUCCUACGGGAGGCAGCAGUGAGGAAUAUUGCGCAAUGAGCGAAAGCUAGACGCAGCAACGCCGCGUGGGUGAUGAAGGCCUUCGGGUCGUAAAACCCUUUUCUGGGGGAAGAGUAAGGACGGUACCCCAGGAAUAAGCCUCGGCUAACUAUGUGCCAGCAGCCGCGGUAAUACAUAGGAGGCAAGCGUUAUCCGGAUUUACUGGGCGUAAAGAGCGUUGAGGCGGCUUCGUAAGUUGGACGUGAAAGCUCCCGGCUUAACUGGGAGAGGCCGUUCAAUACUGCGGGGCUUGAGGACAGCAGAGGGGGGUGGAAUUUCCGGUGUAGUGGUGAAAUGCGUAGAUAUCGGAAGGAACACCAGUGGCGAAGGCGGCCCCCUGGGCUGCUCCUGACGCUGAAGGCGAAAGCUAGGGUAGCGAACGGGAUUAGAAACCCCGGUAGUCCUAGCCGUAAACGAUGGAUACUAGGUGUAGGAGGUUAAAAUUCCUUCUGUGCCGGAGCUAACGCGUUAAGUAUCCCGCCUGGGGAGUACGGUCGCAAGGCUAAAACUCAAAGGAAUUGACGGGGGCCCGCACAAGCAGCGGAGCGUGUGGUUUAAUUCGAUGCAACGCGAAGAACCUUACCAGGGCUUGACAUGCAGGUAGUAGUGAAGCGAAAGCGGAACGAUCCUUCGGGAAGCCUACACAGGUGCUGCAUGGCUGUCGUCAGCUCGUGCCGUGAGGUG
rnacentral:rRNA from 1 species